rnacentral:tRNA from 2 species
GAAGACGUGUUGAAAGUGGUAGCCAAGUCUUUUUUAAGCAGAGAUGGAAUUAUUUCCGUGAGAGUUCGAGUCUCUCUGUCUUCA